GAGAAAUGCAAACAAGAAAAUAUUAUUACACUACAUCAUAAACACAUUCAACCAUUUUCAGCCCAUCGUUGAACAGCUGGAAUAUAAUAGAACUGUUGCCUUUUACCUAGUUAAACGCAAUCAAUACCUGGAUACUUAGCUUAAAAAUCUACCCCAUUACACAUCAUGCAUAGUAGAUGAUUCUCUCCAAACUGAUUUACUUUAUAUAGCAAUAAAAAAAUAAAAAAAAAUGGAUUUCUCAAGUAUUGAUUAACAUAUUUCUUUCCUGACAUUGACAACAAAAAGAAAGUACAGAAAAGGUCAAAUUAGUCCCAAAAUUAAGGGGUCAUCCAAUUGUAGUACCUAAAAUUUCAAAAUGCAAAAAAGUAAACAAUUCUAUUUUACUUUAAAAAGGGCCCCCACAAUUAAAGAUUCUGUUUAAAUGAAAUUUUCCAUUAGUUACACAUUAAAACUCAUUUUAA
rnacentral:misc_RNA from 1 species